rnacentral:rRNA from 1 species
GAUCAUGGCUCAGAGCGAACGUUAGCGGCGGGCCUAACACAUGCAAGUCGAACGCGAAAGGUCUUCGGACUGAGUAGAGUGGCGCACGGGUGAGUAACACGUAGGUAAUCUACCCUUUGGCGGGGGAUAACGUUCCGAAAGGAGCGCUAAUACCGCAUAAGACCACGGAGUCUCCGGACGCUGUGGGAAAAGGUGGCCUCUUCUUGAAAGCUAUCACCGAAGGAUGAGCCUGCGUCCCAUCAGCUAGUUGGUAAGGUAAUGGCUUACCAAGGCGAAGACGGGUAGCUGGUUUGAGAGAAUGAUCAGCCACACUGGCACUGGAACACGGGCCAGACUCCUACGGGAGGCAGCAGUGGGGAAUUUUGGACAAUGGGGGCAACCCUGAUCCAGCCAUUCCGCGUGAGUGAAGAAGGCCUUCGGGUUGUAAAGCUCUUUCGGCAGGAACGAAACGGCGGGCUCUAACAUAGCCUGUCAAUGACGGUACCUGAAGAAGAAGCACCGGCUAACUACGUG